rnacentral:tRNA from 1 species
AAGGAUUUAAGUUAAAAUAAACUAAUAACCUUCAAAGUUAUAAAUAAAAUAACAUUUUUAAGCCUUA